GAUGAAGAACGCAGCGAAAUGCGAUAAGUAGUGUGAAUUGCAGAAUUCAGUGAAUCAUCGAAUCUUUGAACGCACAUUGCGCCCCAUGGUAUUCCGUGGGGCAUGCCUGUUCGAGCGUCAUUUACCCCCUCAAGCUCCGCUUGGUGUUGGGCGUCUGUCCCGCUUCGCGCGCGGACUCGCCCCAAAGGUAUUGGCAGCGGUCGUGCCAGCUUCUCGCGCAGCACAUUGCGCUUCUCGAGGCACCGGUGGGCCCGCGUCCAUCAAGCUCAGCCCCCCAGUUUGACCUCGGAUCAGGUAGGGAUACCCGCUGAACUUAAGCAUAUCAAUAAGCGGAGGA
rnacentral:misc_RNA from 1 species